CCCUUGAAUCUGCAUGACCUUGUGACUGUUAGGACCAGUAGACCAAGGCAGAAGCGAUGACAUCAGACUUCCAAGGCUAGGUCAUAAAAGGCCAUGGUUUACUGGUACACGAAGCCAGCAUGUAAGAAGUUGGACUUCCCCAACGCUACCAUACAGAGAAGGCCACAGGUAGACAUUCCAACCAGCGGUCCUGGCUGAGCCCAGCCUUCUAGUUUUCUCCACCAAGGUGCUAGAUUCAUGAGUGAAAAAGUCAACUCGGAAGAGGCUCCUGCAGCUCCGGCUAUUCUAUGAUAACUGCCAUCUGAACUGAGAGCAUCCCUGUCUCCUGAAACAGCUUCAAGAGGGAACAUCAUGAAGAAGCAAAGGAUGAAGGAGGCCCUUUACCUCUCUCCUCCCACUGCCCCCUGACAGCCAGAGCAUCCAAACCAACACCAAUGCAGGGAUGAAACACGUUGUGGCCAUUUCACCCCCAACCCAUCAUCAUUUAAGAGCACUGUAGGGCAGAGCGAAUGUCUUCACUUUCAUCACUUAUGUGCUAUUUAAAUCCCAUUUCAGUGUCUAUACCAAGCCAAGGAUUCACUACCUCGCUGAAAAUAAUCACAGAAUCCAUUCUCCUGGCUUUUUGUUUAAGCUAAGGGUCACCUACCAUUUAGAAAACGUUGGAUAAGUUAGAAUUGUGUUUCUAAAGUCUGUUUUUAAUAAGCUAUUUCAUCACCCACUUCUCCAGCUUCAAGCAAUCAAUUUCCUUCUCAGCAAACUCAAUUACUCAUUAUCAUCUUCAAAAACAGAUUUGUAUUGAGUAGCACAGAGCCUGAGUUGAAGAGACUCCCAAUACUAGAUCAAUAAAGAAAUCACAUUCUUCCCCCAGCCCCACCAGGCAGUGCAUUCUCGAAUCCCAGGGAGCUCCAUCUUACAUAAUUUAGUAGUAUUCUAUAAUAAUAAAAGAAGUCAGAGGAUGGAGGGAGGAAGGAAAAAAACACUACCAUAUCACUCCCUAAAAGACUGUUCCCUGAGAUAUACGCACUUGAAAAAGAUUACAAGCCAAAAAAAGUA